GGCGCUAUAGUGUAGUGGCUAUCACAACGGAUUCUGAUUUUCUCAACCUUCCGUUAACCCAGGUUCGAACCCUGGUAGCGCCU